rnacentral:rRNA from 1 species
GACACGGCUGGCGGCGUGGAUUAGGCAUGCAAGUCGAACGGUAUCAUUCUUUCGGGGGUGAGAGAGUGGCGAACUGGUGAGUAACACGUAGGUUAUCUACCCCAAGACGGGGACAACCCAGGGAAACUUGGGCUAAUACCGGAUGUGAGCAACUUUUAGUUGUUUGAAAGGUGGCGUAAGCUGUCGCUUGGGGAUGAGCCUGCGUCCUAUUAGUUAGUUGGUGAGGUAACGGCUCACCUAGGCAAUGAUAGGUAGGCGGCCUUAACGGGUGGUCGCCCACACUGGGAUUGAGAUACGGCCCAGACUCCUACGGGAGGCAGCAGUCGAGAAUAGUCUACAAUGGUCGGAAGACUGAUAGUGCGACGCCGCGUGAACGAUGAAUCCCUUCGGGGUGUAAAGUUCUUUUAUAUGUGAGCAGUGCUUCUUAUAUUAACAGUAUGGGGAGAGAGAUAUUAGCAUAUGAAUAAGCAACGGCUAACUCCGUG